rnacentral:misc_RNA from 1 species
UAACCCUCAUCAUUAGGAUGUCAAAGUCUUAAUGGUGGAUUUGGAUUGUGCCGUAGUUGGCUCAUCCUGAAAUACAUUAGCUUGCACUUUUUAGGGUGCUUGGCAUGGUGUGAUAAUUAUCUGCGCCGUCGCCUUAUGCCUCUUCUAUGUGUGCUGCUUACAGUCGUCCAUUUGGACAAUAACUUAAGCU